rnacentral:rRNA from 1 species
AACGCGAAGAACCUUACCAGGGUUUGACAUCCCGAGAAUCUUUUCGAAAGAUUAGAGUGCCGCAAGGAACUCGGUGACAGGUGGUGCAUGGCCGUCGUCAGCUCGUGUCGUGAGAUGUUUGGUUAAGUCCAUUAACGAGCGCAACCCCUUUACUUAGUUGGAUUUUUCUAAGUAGACUGCCCCGGUAACGGGGAGGAAGGAGGGGAUGACGUCAGGUCAGUAUUUCCCUUACAUCCUGGGCUAGAAACACGCUACAAUGGCCGGUACAGAGGGCAGCCAAGUCGCGAGACGGAGCAAAUCCCAUCAAAACCGGUCUCAGUUCGGAUUGCAGGCUGAAACUCGCCUGCAUGAAGCUGGAAUCGCUAGUAACGGUAGGUCAGCACACUACCGUGAAUACGUUCCCGGGCCUUGUA